GACAAUGAACAAGCAGUACGAAUCUGCCUUUAUGAGGAACAGUAUCGUUCAACGGUUUUUCAUAUUAGAAACACGAUAAUGUGGACGUGCUACGGAAUAGUUACCUAUUUAAACGUUACGAUUUUCGUGUUUAGCAAGUGUUUGUGCAAUUGGAUGGGUUAUGCGGCAACCAGAUAGACUAUUCCACAUGUGGAAGUCAAAGAACACUUCAUAGUCGCCAAUGAGGUAUCGGCGUGCACCAACUGCCUGAGCAGAGGAAACGUUCUUCUGUAUUGCACCGCCGGAUCCUGUCAUAUGGGCGGGCAACGACACCACACGCUGUUGCAUGGAUCCGAAACUUGAAUCACGACUCGGGACAUCACUAGCACCCAACAUCCAUUCGAUCUCCAACAUCUUUCUCGACAUCUUCACGUAUCCAUCAAAACCCAUCUGAGACACCACAAACACGAUUAUCUCCAAGCCCAUCAUCCAGGCAGAGGAGACAAUGACGGCGGCGGCCAACCACUUCAAAAAGGACUGAAUCAAUCGACAUUUGGUUGUCGAGCAUUGCUAGACACUGGUACCAGCAUGAUGUACAUUUAAUUCCAUUGAUCAUUGGCAGACGACGUGGAACACCGGUCCCCGCGAGUGGGUCGAACACUUAAUGAAAGAAAUAAAACGUGUUUAGUACAGUGUGGCAACGUACUGAAUGUAAAAAGAAUGUUAUAAUUACUGUUAUAAUUAUAAUUACCUUACUGUUAUGUUAUUGUGGCGGCACUCGACCUCGGAAAUUUCCAACGGCUUCGCGACACAAAGCGCUUUAUCUUUAAAGCGCUAGGCCGAGUAGCGUAAUGUACCAACGAUAUUCCUACGGCUCUUUCGCCGAAUAUUCGGGAGAACGCAUACGCGGCAACCGUUGCGGACUUCUAACAAUCGCGCGCGUAGUGCGAUAUCGAGCGCUCACAAAAAAAAGAAUCGACGUGGUUUUGAACCAGAGAGAUUCAGUGUGUCCCGAGCGGUGAAGUGCGAAGGAUUACGCGUAGCAAAUAUCACGAUCGGCAUACUUCAAAUCCGAUGGGCUGGCGAUGGAGAUAAAGAUGUGGGGGCACUUGACAACACUGUAUAUCGCCUAAGUGCCUAAUGAACCAUCGAUAUCCCGACGGUUCUUCCACCGAAUGUUCUAGAAGCGUCUCAACGGUCACG